UACGGAGGGGGCUAGCGUUGUUCGGAAUUACUGGGCGUAAAGCGCACGUAGGCGGCUUUGUAAGUUAGAGGUGAAAGCCCGGAGCUCAACUCCGGAAUUGCCUUUAAGACUGCAUCGCUAGAAUUGUGGAGAGGUAAGUGGAAUUCCGAGUGUAGAGGUGAAAUUCGUAGAUAUUCGGAAGAACACCAGUGGCGAAGGCGACUUACUGGACACAUAUUGACGCUGAGGUGCGAAAGCGUGGGAGCAACAGGAUAGAUACCGUGACGUC
rnacentral:rRNA from 1 species